rnacentral:rRNA from 1 species
UACGUAGGGGGCAAGCGUUGUCCGGAUUCAUUGGGCGUAAAGAGCGUGUAGGCGGCCAGGUAGGUCGGUUGUGAAAACUGGAGGCUCAACCUUCAGAGGUCGACCGAAACCAUCUGGCUAGAGUCCGGGAGAGGAGAGUGGAAUUCCUGGUGUAGCGGUGAAAUGCGCAGAUAUCAGGAAGAACACCUGCGGUGUAGACGGCUUACUGGACCAUAACUGACGCUGAGGCACGAAAGCGUGGGUAGCAAACAGG